GGCUCAGGACGAACGCUGGCGGCGUGCUUAACACAUGCAAGUCGAACGAUGAAGGAAGAAGCUUGCUUCUUCUGGAUUAGUGGCGAACGGGUGAGUAACACGUGAGCAAUCUGCCCUUGACUCUGGGAUAAGCGUUGGAAACGACGUCUAAUACCGGAUACGACCCUCGGAGGCAUCUCCUGGGGGUGGAAAGAAUCUUGGUCAAGGAUGAGCUCGCGGCCUAUCAGCUAGUUGGUGAGGUAAUGGCUCACCAAGGCGACGACGGGUAGCCGGCCUGAGAGGGUGACCGGCCACACUGGGACUGAGACACGGCCCAGACUCCUACGGGAGGCAGCAGUGGGGAAUAUUGCACAAUGGGCGAAAGCCUGAUGCAGCAACGCCGCGUGAGGGAUGACGGCCUUCGGGUUGUAAACCUCUUUUAGUAGGGAAGAAGCGAAAGUGACGGUACCUGCAGAAAAAGCACCGGCUAACUACGUGCCAGCAGCCGCGGUAAUACGUAGGGUGCAAGCGUUGUCCGGAAUUAUUGGGCGUAAAGAGCUCGUAGGCGGUUUGUCGCGUCUGCUGUGAAAUCUGGGGGCUCAACCCCCAGCCUGCAGUGGGUACGGGCAGACUAGAGUGCGGUAGGGGAGAUUGGAAUUCCUGGUGUAGCGGUGGAAUGCGCAGAUAUCAGGAGGAACACCGAUGGCGAAGGCAGAUCUCUGGGCCGUAACUGACGCUGAGGAGCGAAAGCAUGGGGAGCGAACAGGAUUAGAUACCCUGGUAGUCCAUGCCGUAAACGUUGGGAACUAGAUGUGGGGACCAUUCCACGGUCUCCG
rnacentral:rRNA from 1 species